rnacentral:rRNA from 1 species
AUUGAACGCUAGCGGGAUGCUUUACACAUGCAAGUCGAACGAGUGGCGGACGGGUGAGUAAUAUAACGGAACGUGCCCAGUAGCGGGUGAUAACUACUCGAAAGAAUGGCUAAUACCGCAUACUAUUGGGACGGGCGAUAUCGGAUUAGCUAGUUGGUGGGGUAAAGGCGCACAAAGGCAACGAUCCGGAGCUGGGUUGAGAGGACGACCAGCCACACGGGGACUGAGACACGGCCCAGACUCCGACGGGAGGUAGCAGUGGGGAAUUUUGGACAAUGGGGGAAACCCUGAUCCAGCCAUCGCGCGUGUAUGAGUAGGCCUUCGGGUUGUAAAGGACUUUUGGCAGAGAAGCGGUAUCUGCAGAAUAAGCACCGGCUAACUACGUGCCAGCAGCCGCGGUAAUAC